GUUUUUCAACGAUUAUAUCGUGCUGCAAUUACUGGGUUACAAUUAAAUAUUUUUGGCAAUCAAAUUGGCUACGUACAUUAUACGGACAGGAGUGAUUCAAAUUGGAAUAGUCGGCAAUCAUUUCGUGAAAGAAUCGAACUAGUGGAUUGCGGUUUGUCUUUAGAUACUCGCAAGCAUUGGUAGUGAAGUUAUAAAGAAAGGGUUUAUAGCCAUUCUUCAGCACCUGGAUUUUUACCUAUAAAAUAUCGACUCAAACUUAUUGAUUCACCUGAGAAAAUGUAGCGCACGGUGUACCUGAAGAUCGUUAAAUGCCAGUUGGUGAAUUCUAGUCCUUACAGUCAAAUAUUUGUACGUCCGAUUUUUUGAUUUAAGAAAACAUGCUUCAAAAUCCAUGAAUUCAAUGUCCAGAGGUGUACAUAUAAGAUCACGUUCAUUCUUACCCCAAAUCCGAAUAAAACUACGCCCAGGAGCAACAUCCAAGUCCAUCUGCAUUUUGUCAUGUCUCAGUUAAUAGUGGCACAACAAAGUACCGUGCUCGGUACUUUCCACUAGCUAAGUUCAUUUAGCCGUGUCCGUUUAUCUGUCCGUUUAUCAGUCCGUUGGCAUUGAUAAGCCAAUAUAUGUUAAUUUAAAUUCGAUACAUAGUACAUUGCAAUUACCCAUAAUGAAUACUACAAAAUCACACAAGUCAUAAUUACUGCAUAACGCAGAACAGCUUAAUUAUUCAACCAGCUUACAAGAGAUUGUUAAAUGAAUGGCAUCCAUGAAAUUUAAAGCACAUUUUGAGCAAUUAAAAACAUGUUAUGAGUAUUUUUUUAGUUUAAGCCAUAAAUAUGAUAUUGAUGUUCUAUUGAUAUUCUAAAUAUAGCAAAAUAAUUGAGUUAUCUUUUUAGUAAGAACAUAUUUAAAGUAUCUACACUUAGGGCAUGCACAAUAGGAAAAAUCCAAUUACGGACAGAUAUUCCGAACAGAUUCCGAAUCAGCUUAAGUGGUACUUUAAGAUACCCAUCUUAGCCAGUUCAUGACGUUACCUUCCGGCUGGGAGUCCACGUCCAGGUCCUCCGAAAUUAGCCAGUUCUUGGGCUUCGGCUCCACCACAGCCUUGUGCAGAGUGGGACUGAGGCGAUAGGUUUCCACAUGCUCCUCGCGAUGAGGAUGGGAUUCCUCCGGGGAUUCCGCAUCGGCCGCGAGGAUCGUGUUGCUCUCGGAUACGGACAGGUCGGUAAUGUCUAUGUCCACGGACUCCUCGCCACUCGCGCAAGUAUCGGCGUAACUGCCGCCGGAACUGAUCGAGUUUAUGAAUAUGGAGUUUUUCACUUCCGUGGGCUUUUUGAUACGCGCGCCCGUCAUCGAAUUGAAUAAGGCGUGAACACUGUUGUUGGUUAGAUUGAACUCAAAGGACUUUGUGACAAACUGGGCCAACUGCUCCAUUAUCCUUGGCUUGGGUAAAUAAAUAAAUGCCGCUGCUUUUUUAUGCGUUCGAGCAUAAGUUGCUGUAAGGAAACUAAGCUGCCGACUAUUUUAUAGUCAACACCAAUGGCAUUCGGCGUGCCUAAUCACCUCAGUUGGCUCUUUAUUGCUGCGCAUGUCCUUCGGAUUAUCCACAUUCGAUUCAGCCGCGUAAAUUGGCCAAGAGAGCGGCAUAAUAAUGAAAAAUAUUGGCGCUUCGAUUUUGGCCAGGAUCAAACGGACGACUGCCUGUUUUAAUGGACAAAUAUGACUAGUUAGUUCAACAUCUUGACUCCAUUCAAUUAGCAAUUUCUUUGGUCCUGCACCAGCACUUUGCUCUCUUCUCCUCUCUGCCCCUUCUUUUUCCAGCUCUCUCUCUCGCGCGGCGAGUCCUUAAAAAAAACCACCCCAAGUCGGUGGGGCAAUGUAAAGUGAAGUGAAGUCCUGCCUACGGUGGUCCUUUCAAUUGCUCUCAUUGGUCUACGGAGGAGGCGAAGUGGUUGCACGCUCAGCGAUUCCAGCUUACUUUCCUAUUAUUGGUUAUAGCCAUUAUGGAGCACUAUUUAUCCAUUUAUCCAUUAAGCGGCAAUGAAACACAUUAUAAUUGCAAUAAACGACGCCAUGUGGGAGGAGUUUGGCGCCGGAGUUUCAGGACUCCUGGCCGCCGGAUUCAGGCCCUCCUCAGCUUUUGCCACUUUAUAAAUAACUUUUAAAUCGCCGUGCUUGCCACGAAAAUCCACUGAAAAGGGCUUUAUUUUCAUUUCCCAAAGUCGUCGGCGUGUGGGGAGCUGUUUUAUCGAUUUGGGGGCGGGCUCAAUGCCAUAAAACUGGGAUCUGAGUUGGCGCUCUGCCACGCCCCCAAUAUUCAUUACUUCAACUUUGUGCUAAUGACACUGGGCUGCAAAGGCGACAUAACUCAUUGCCGGACUUAUUGUACAAGAACCCAAUCAAAAGACACUCAGAUAAUGCCCCAGUUUUUGUAGACCGAACACAAGCCAUCUUCAUUUAUCAAACUGAAUUGUGUUGCGCAGUGUAAACUCAUUUCAUUUAUCAACUUUUCGAACGUAUUCAGAUAGAGAUAAUUGCACCUAGAAUCAAAAAUUCAUUCCAUUUUAUUUGAAAAUCAUUUAUUUUUCCAUUACUUUAUAGACUUGGAAGUCAACUUGUUACAUGAAUUUGUUGAUUAUUUCAUUAUCUAUAUGUAUAAGCAACAGAUUAAACAAUUGCAUAAGCUGCAUAAUUGGCCAUUCCGCACAUAUUGACUCCCUUGCGAAUUCGGAUGUAACCAUUUUCGCCCCAAUUUUGUCCCCACCAGUUCUUCAAUAUCCAAUAAUCCUUUCCAAAACCAAUAACCACCAUGGCAUGAUUAACUGAAGCUGACGAGCACAGGGGGUCAUCGUAGAUGCCGUCACUAAAUCAAACACGUGAAUUGAAAAUUAAAAUAUAUAAUAAUUUCCUGUGAUUACCUGUACAGUUGAAAUGUCUUCGGGGAGGCAUUUAUGGAUAUGGCAACUGGUCCGAUGUGAGCAACUGCCGCCUGAAUGGCCUGCUCAUCGCGCACGGGAAGAAUGGCCCAAGAUGUUACAUUAACUACGGAUAGGUCGGGAACAAACUGGCAUUUGCCCUUCUGAAAAACAUUAGCAUUAGUUAGGAGUAGAAGGCUUUCACUAGAUAGCUGUCAAUAUACAGGUCAUAUUUAUCAUAUUCCACAUAUGUAUGAGCACUGACUGUGUACACUUUGUGUAAACCAAAAGGCUAAGUAAGUUAUAUUGCAUGUAAUGACUAAAUAAUUGUAUGUCCUAUUGUAAUAAUGUGAUUUUUUACCAUGAUCUAUGUACUACUAAUAAUAAUAUGAUAAUAACCUGAACAAAACACUAAAGAUUUAAUCAUUCUACCGCCCUUUUUUUAAAGAGAUAAGCUUUCGGUGUAACUGACACUCUAAUAUAUAAAAAGCAACAAUCAUUUAAAUUGUAUGGUGUUCUAAUUACCCUUGCCGCAUACGGAUAAUCCUCUUCCCUCAUUAUGCCACCCGUGCUCUGCAAAUAGCGCAGAGUAUUUCGCAGGGAGCCGCCGACGCAUCCUUGGUUUCCAUGGGACACACUGCAGUCCACAAUUUGUUGCUUACUCAGGCUCAGUAUCUUCCCGGUUCGCUUGAAAACCUGGCCUACGAUGCUCUCGGCGAUGGAGAAAGCGUAGCAGGAACCGCAGGAAAGUUGGUUGUACGGAGGUGUGAUGAAUCCUUUACUGCGCCAAUCCAAACUUUCGGGUACAUUACUCAUCAGGGGAGAGCCCACUAUUUCGGCCAUAUUAUCCGCGCUGUCUUCAAUAUUGCUCUUUAAUAGUCGCAAAUAUCCCUUAAGGCCCACAGUUAAAUAUUUUGGGAAAUACGUACCAUAUCAGCGAAAAUAUUGGGUUUCAAUCUGAAGCUCGUUUGACCAUCCUUAAAGUUUUGGUUGUGUUCCUCAAUAACUUUGUAGUUUUCCUCAAACGCCUUGU